UUUUAUAUGUAGAUACGAGUCAUGACGGAAACUACCGCGUAGAUCAUGUAGGUCAUGAUUUUAUGUACCUUGAGUACCUGAUACCUGAACAUUGGCCGUCUAAGCAAGAUAGCAGUUUCUCAAAGUAAAAAAAAUAAAAACAAGAAUAUCGGUGAAGAAAUAUUUAUUGCUGUACGGAAUGUUAGCAAAUAUGAACAAUAUGAGUGACUUAGAACCAGCAGACUUCAAAAAUUAUCUAUAAAUGGAUUCGAUCUCGUUUGACAUAAUAUUAAACCUUGUGACACCACUUAUUCAAAAGCAGGAUACUAUCCUACGAUAAUCUAUUAUAUAACUAUUAAAUAACUAUUACAUAUCUAAUCCUACGAUAGUAUAAGUCCAAAAGAAAGAUUGGUUGUAACAUUAAUAUUUCUUGCAACAGGAAAUUCGUAUCAAAAUUUAAAA